rnacentral:rRNA from 1 species
UGGGGAAUUUUGGACAAUGGGGGAAACCCUGAUCCAGCCAUCCCGCGUGUGCGAUGAAGGCCUUCGGGUUGUAAAGCACUUUUGGCAGGAAAGAAACGUCGCGGGUUAAUACCCCGCGAAACUGACGGUACCUGCAGAAUAAGCACCGGCUAACUACGUGCCAGCAGCCGCGGUAACACGUAGGGUGCAAGCGUUAAUCGGAAUUACUGGGCGUAAAGCGUGCGCAGGCGGUUCGGAAAGAAAGAUGUGAAAUCCCAGAGCUUAACUUUGGAACUGCAUUUUUAACUACCGGGCUAGAGUGUGUCAGAGGGAGGUGGAAUUCCGCGUGUAGCAGUGAAAUGCGUAGAUAUGCGGAGGAACACCGAUGGCGAAGGCAGCCUCCUGGGAUAACACUGACGCUCAUGCACGAAAGCGUGGGGAGCAAACAGGAUUAGAUACCCUGGUAGUCCACGCCCUAAACGAUGUCAACUAGCUGUUGGGGCCUUCGGGCCUUGGUAGCGCAGCUAACGCGUGAAGUUGACCGCCUGGGGAGUACGGUCGCAAGAUUAAAACUCAAAGGAAUUGG